rfam:Lactobacillus panis DSM 6035 NODE_179, whole genome shotgun sequence.
AACCGCCGUAUACGGAACCGUACGUACGGUGGUGUGAGAGGUCGGUAAUUGAACUAAUCAAUCACCUCCUACUCGAU